rnacentral:rRNA from 1 species
AACGAACGCUGGCGGCAUGCCUAACACAUGCAAGUCGAACGAUUGCCUUCGGGUGAUAGUGGCGCACGGGUGCGUAACGCGUGGGAAUCCGCCCUUAGGUUCGGAAUAACAGCUGGAAACGGCUGCUAAUACCGGAUGAUAUCGCGAGAUCAAAGAUUUAUCGCCUGAGGAUGAGCCCGCGUUGGAUUAGGUAGUUGGUAGGGUAAAGGCCUACCAAGCCGACGAUCCAUAGCUGGUCUGAGAGGAUGAUCAGCCACACUGGGACUGAGACACGGCCCAGACUCCUACGGGAGGCAGCAGUGGGGAAUAUUGGACAAUGGGCGCAAGCCUGAUCCAGCAAUGCCGCGUGAGUGAUGAAGGCCCUAGGGUUGUAAAGCUCUUUUACCCGGGAAGAUAAUGACUGUACCGGGAGAAUAAGCCCCGGCUAACUCCGUG